ensembl:lncRNA
UUCUAAACUGUCAUGGCGAUUUUGUGUCCUUGGAAAUAAAAAGCGCCAGUGUUUUUCGGGCUAACCGGGGGGAUGUCUCGCCGGUGAGAGCGUGUGUCCGGUGUCCGGAGCAGAUGUUCACUGGCCUCUUGAAGCACACACCACCUCAGGCCUCCGCUGCAGCAGCCUCUUCCUCGGACCAAAACAGCAACGCACAAACUACAGCUCCCACAAUCCCACGGGGACACCUGGUUGUGGGCACCAAGGACCAGCUCCGCCUCCUCACCCCUGUGGGCAGCACGGUGACAUCCAAUCACUGCACCACAUCCGGGGUCCACGCUGCUAAGCACUCCGGAGGAGCGCCACGGCCUCCCUCCUCUAUGAGCGAGGAGGAUGAUGGAGGUGGCGGAGGCAGGGUGAAGAAGAAACGAAAGAAAAAGGACAAGAGGGAAUGGGAGAAAGCAGGAGUGGAGUGUGAGGAAAAGGAGAGCAGCAAACCAAAGAAACGAAGGGAGGAGAGGGAGCCAAUAGUGGUCUCCCUGAGAAAGAGCAAGGAACCCAAGGAGGGAAAGGAGAGAAAGGAGCGUAAGGAGCGCAGGACCAAGGGAAAGG